rnacentral:rRNA from 1 species
GACGAACGCUGGCGGCGUGCUUAACACAUGCAAGUCGAACGGAAAGGCCCUGCUUUUGUGGGGUGCUCGAGUGGCGAACGGGUGAGUAACACGUGAGUAACCUGCCCUUGACUUUGGGAUAACUUCAGGAAACUGGGGCUAAUACCGGAUAGGAGCUCCUGCUGCAUGGUGGGGGUUGGAAAGUUUCGGCGGUUGGGGAUGGACGCGCGGCUUAUCAGCUUGUUGGUGGGGUAGUGGCUUACCAAGGCAUUGACGGGUAGCCGGCCUGAGAGGGUGACCGGCCACAUUGGGACUGAGGUACGGCACAGACUCCUACGGGAGGCAGCAGUGGGGAAUAGUGCAGAAUGGGAGGAAGGCUGAUGCAGCAACGCCGCGGGCGGGAUGACGGCCUUCGGGUUGUAAACCGCGUUCGCCUGUGACGAAGCGUGAGUGACGGUAAUGGGUAAAGAAGCACCGGCUAACUACGUG